rnacentral:rRNA from 1 species
AACGAACGCUGGCGGCAUGCCUAACACAUGCAAGUCGAACGAGACCUUCGGGUCUAGUGGCGCACGGGUGCGUACCGCGUGGGAACCUGCCCUUAGGUUCGGAAUAACUCCCCGAAAGGGGUGCUAAUACCGGAUAAUGUCUUCGGACCAAAGAUUUAUCGCCUUUGGAUGGGCCCGCGUUGGAUUAGCUAGUUGGUAGGGUAAAAGCCUACCAAGGCGACGAUCCAUAGCUGGUCUGAGAGGAUGAUCAGCCACACUGGGACUGAGACACGGCCCAGACUCCUACGGGAGGCAGCAGUGGGGAAUAUUGGACAAUGGGCGAAAGCCUGAUCCAGCAAUGCCGCGUGAGUGAUGAAGGCCUUAGGGUUGUAAAGCCCUUUUACCCGGGAUGAUAAUGACAGUACCGGGAGAAUAAGCUCCGGCUAACUCCGUG